rnacentral:rRNA from 1 species
CGGAUGACCUGUGGCUGGGGGUGAAAGGCCAAUCAAACCGGGAGAUAGCUGGUUCUCCCCGAAAGCUAUUUAGGUAGCGCCUCGUGAAUUCAUCUCCGGGGGUAGAGCACUGUUUCGGCUAGGGGGCCAUCCCGGCUUACCAACCCGAUGCAAACUGCGAAUACCGGAGAAUGUUAUCACGGGAGACACACGGCGGGUGCUAACGUCCGUCGUGAAGAGGGAAACAACCCAGACCGCCAGCUAAGGUCCCAAAGUCAUGGUUAAGUGGGAAACGAUGUGGGAAGGCCCAGACAGCCAGGAUGUUGGCUUAGAAGCAGCCAUCAUUUAAAGAAAGCGUAAUAGCUCACUGGUCGAGUCGGCCUGCGCGGAAGAUGUAACGGGGCUAAACCAUGCACCGAAGCUGCGGCAGCGACGCUGAUGCGUUGUUGGGUAGGGGAGCGUUCUGUAAGCCUGCGAAGGUGGCCUGUGAGGGUUGCUGGAGGUAUCAGAAGUGCGAAUGCUGACAUAAGUAACGAUAAAGCGGGUGAAAAGCCCGCUCGCCGGAAGACCAAGGGUUCCUGUCCAACGUUAAUCGGGGCAGGGUGAGUCGACCCCUAAGGCGAGGCCGAAAGGCGUAGUCGAUGGGAAACGGGUUAAUAUUCCCGUACUUGGUGUUACUGCGAAGGGGGGACGGAGAAGGCUAUGUUGGCCGGGCGACGGUUGUCCCGGUUUAAGCGUGUAGGUGUGUGUUCCAGGUAAAUCCGGUUCACUUUAACACUGAGGCGUGAUGACGAGGCACUACGGUGCUGAAGCAACAAAUGCCCUGCUUCCAGGAAAAGCCUCUAAGCAUCAGGUAACAUCAAAUCGUACCCCAAACCGACACAGGUGGUCAGGUAGAGAAUACCAAGGCGCUUGAGAGAACUCGGGUGAAGGAACUAGGCAAAAUGGUGCCGUAACUUCGGGAGAAGGCACGCUGACACGUAGGUGAAGUGAUUUACUCAUGGAGCUGAAGUCAGUCGAAGAUACCAGCUGGCUGCAACUGUUUAUUAAAAACACAGCACUGUGCAAACACGAAAGUGGACGUAUACGGUGUGACGCCUGCCCGGUGCCGGAAGGUUAAUUGAUGGGGUCAGCGCAAGCGAAGCUCCUGAUCGAAGCCCCGGUAAACGGCGGCCGUAACUAUAACGGUCCUAAGGUAGCGAAAUUCCUUGUCGGGUAAGUUCCGACCUGCACGAAUGGCGUAAUGAUGGCCAGGCUGUCUCCACCCGAGACUCAGUGAAAUUGAACUCGCUGUGAAGAUGCAGUGUACCCGCGGCAAGACGGAAAGACCCCGUGAACCUUUACUAUAGCUUGACACUGAACAUUGAGCCUUGAUGUGUAGGAUAGGUGGGAGGCUUUGAAGUGUGGACGCCAGUCUGCAUGGAGCCGACCUUGAAAUACCACCCUUUAAUGUUUGAUGUUCUAACGUGGACCCGUGAUCCGGGUUGCGGACAGUGUCUGGUGGGUAGUUUGACUGGGGCGGUCUCCUCCUAAAGAGUAACGGAGGAGCACGAAGGUUGGCUAAUCCUGGUCGGACAUCAGGAGGUUAGUGCAAUGGCAUAAGCCAGCUUGACUGCGAGCGUGACGGCGCGAGCAGGUGCGAAAGCAGGUCAUAGUGAUCCGGUGGUUCUGAAUGGAAGGGCCAUCGCUCAACGGAUAAAAGGUACUCCGGGGAUAACAGGCUGAUACCGCCCAAGAGUUCAUAUCGACGGCGGUGUUUGGCACCUCGAUGUCGGCUCAUCACAUCCUGGGGCUGAAGUAGGUCCCAAGGGUAUGGCUGUUCGCCAUUUAAAGUGGUACGCGAGCUGGGUUUAGAACGUCGUGAGACAGUUCGGUCCCUAUCUGCCGUGGGCGCUGGAGAACUGAGGGGGGCUGCUCCUAGUACGAGAGGACCGGAGUGGACGCAUCACUGGUGUUCGGGUUGUCAUGCCAAUGGCACUGCCCGGUAGCUAAAUGCGGAAGAGAUAAGUGCUGAAAGCAUCUAAGCACGAAACUUGCCCCGA